rnacentral:rRNA from 1 species
AUGAAGAGGAAGCGACAGGGGAACCACCUCAUCCAAGGGGGCCCAACCGACGCAGCACUACCCUCUUUCGGGCCCGCUUCGGUUCCUCCCGUCAAGGCCGCCGGCGGGAGGAAGAAGACCGGCUCCACCAGCCCAACCGGUGCAUGUGCGAAGUCCCCGAGGAAGAAGGCAAUCACAGCAAGAGGUCGGGCUCCUCCUCCGCCUACGGCUGGCCACAACCUCCCCAUUCACGGCGACUCCACCGGCCACGCCUACCAUGUGUUCGAUGGAACGACCGGGAGCCAAAGUGUGCCUUCCACAUAUACCGAAAUGUUGGUCGAGAGUAUAGUGGAUUUGAGUGCUCACUCUCCGAUCAAUGUGGAUGAUGGCGAUGGUGCUAGGGGCGGCGGUGGUGGCGACGAUCUUCUCAACAAUGAGGAUUUUGCUUGA